UCCGCUGGUCAGGUGAUCGCUGGCGAAUUUUUUUCGCGAGAGGAAAGUCCGGGCUUCGCAGGGCAGGGUGGUCGGUAACGCCGACCGGUCGAGAGAUCAGGGACAGUGCCACAGAAAGCAAACCGCCGAACGGAGCGAUACGUCGCUUGCGUGGCAAGGGUGAAACGGUGAGGUAAGAGCUCACCAGCGCCGUUGGUGACUUCGGCGGCUUGGUAAACCCCACCCGAAGCAAGGCCAAACAGAAAGCAGUGGCGGCCCGCCGCGUUAUGACUUUCGGGUAGGCUGCUUGAGCGUGUCAGCAAUGGCUCGCCUAGAUAAAUGAUCAUCCACGACAAAACCCGGCUUACCGACCAGCACUUUUU
rnacentral:RNase_P_RNA from 1 species